rnacentral:rRNA from 1 species
ACGCUAGCUACAGGCUUAACACAUGCAAGUCGAGGGGCAGCAUGGUCUUAGCUUGCUAAGGCCGAUGGCGACCGGCGCACGGGUGAGUAACACGUAUCCAACCUGCCGUCUACUCUUGGACAGCCUUCUGAAAGGAAGAUUAAUACAAGAUGGCAUCAUGAGUCCACAUGUUCACAUGAUUAAAGGUAUUCCGGUAGACGAUGGGGAUGCGUUCCAUUAGAUAGUAGGCGGGGUAACGGCCCACCUAGUCUUCGAUGGAUAGGGGUUCUGAGAGGAAGGUCCCCCACAUUGGAACUGAGACACGGUCCAAACUCCUACGGGAGGCAGCAGUGAGGAAUAUUGGUCAAUGGGCGAGAGCCUGAACCAGCCAAGUAGCGUGAAGGAUGACUGCCCUAUGGGUUGUAAACUUCUUUUAUAAAGGAAUAAAGUCGGGUAUGCAUACCCGUUUGCAUGUACUUUAUGAAUAAGGAUCGGCUAACUCCGUGCCAGCAGCCGCGGUAAUACGGAGGAUCCGAGCGUUAUCCGGAUUUAUUGGGUUUAAAGGGAGCGUAGAUGGAUGUUUAAGUCAGUUGUGAAAGUUUGCGGCUCAACCGUAAAAUUGCAGUUGAUACUGGAUAUCUUGAGUGCAGUUGAGGCAGGCGGAAUUCGUGGUGUAGCGAUGAAAUGCUUAGAUAUCACGAAGAACUCCGAUUGCGAAGGCAGCCUGCUAAGCUGCAACUGACAUUGAGGCUCGAAAGUGUGGGUAUCAAACAGGAUUAGAUACCCUGGUAGUCCACACGGUAAACGAUGAAUACUCGCUGUUUGCGAUAUACUGCAAGCGGCCAAGCGAAAGCGUUAAGUAUUCCACCUGGGGAGUACGCCGGCAACGGUGAAACUCAAAGGAAUUGACGGGGGCCCGCACAAGCGGAGGAACAUGUGGUUUAAUUCGAUGAUACGCGAGGAACCUUACCCGGGCUUAAAUUGCAGAUGAAUUACGGUGAAAGCCGUAAGCCGCAAGGCAUCUGUGAAGGUGCUGCAUGGUUGUCGUCAGCUCGUGCCGUGAGGUGUCGGCUUAAGUGCCAUAACGAGCGCAACCCUUGUUGUCAGUUACUAACAGGUUCUGCUGAGGACUCUGACAAGACUGCCAUCGUAAGAUGUGAGGAAGGUGGGGAUGACGUCAAAUCAGCACGGCCCUUACGUCCGGGGCUACACACGUGUUACAAUGGGGGGUACAGAGGGCCGCUACCACGCGAGUGGAUGCCAAUCCCAAAAACCUCUCUCAGUUCGGACUGGAGUCUGCAACCCGACUCCACGAAGCUGGAUUCGCUAGUAAUCGCGCAUCAGCCACGGCGCGGUGAAUACGUUCCCGGGCCUUGUACACACCGCCCGUCAAGCCAUGGGAGCCGGGGGUACCUGAAGUGCGUAACCGCGAGGAGCGCCCUAGGGUAAAACUGGUGACUGGGGCUAAGU